rnacentral:piRNA from 1 species
UAAAUAACUAAGGGCUUGGAUGUGCUGCAU